rnacentral:rRNA from 1 species
GAGCGAACAGAUAAGGAGCUUGCUCCUUUGACGUUAGCGGCGGACGGGUGAGUAACACGUGGGUAACCUACCUAUAAGACUGGGAUAACUUCGGGAAACCGGAGCUAAUACCGGAUAACAUUUGGAACCGCAUGGUUCUAAAGUGAAAGAUGGUUUUGCUAUCACUUAUAGAUGGACCCGCGCCGUAUUAGCUAGUUGGUAAGGUAACGGCUUACCAAGGCGACGAUACGUAGCCGACCUGAGAGGGUGAUCGGCCACACUGGAACUGAGACACGGUCCAGACUCCUACGGGAGGCAGCAGUAGGGAAUCUUCCGCAAUGGGCGAAAGCCUGACGGAGCAACGCCGCGUGAGUGAUGAAGGGUUUCGGCUCGUAAAACUCUGUUAUUAGGGAAGAACAAACGUGUAAGUAACUGUGCACGUCUUGACGGUACCUAAUCAGAAAGCCACGGCUAACUACGUGCCAGCAGCCGCGGUAAUACGUAGGUGGCAAGCGUUAUCCGGAAUUAUUGGGCGUAAAGCGCGCGUAGGCGGUUUCUUAAGUCUGAUGUGAAAGCCCACGGCUCAACCGUGGAGGGUCAUUGGAAACUGGGAAACUUGAGUGCAGAAGAGGAAAGUGGAAUUCCAUGUGUAGCGGUGAAAUGCGCAGAGAUAUGGAGGAACACCAGUGGCGAAGGCGACUUUCUGGUCUGUAACUGACGCUGAUGUGCGAAAGCGUGGGGAUCAAACAGGAUUAGAUACCCUGGUAGUCCACGCCGUAAACGAUGAGUGCUAAGUGUUAGGGGGUUUCCGCCCCUUAGUGCUGCAGCUAACGCAUUAAGCACUCCGCCUGGGGAGUACGACCGCAAGGUUGAAACUCAAAGGAAUUGACGGGGACCCGCACAAGCGGUGGAGCAUGUGGUUUAAUUCGAAGCAACGCGAAGAACCUUACCAAAUCUUGACAUCCUUUGAAAACUCUAGAGAUAGAGCCUUCCCCUUCGGGGGACAAAGUGACAGGUGGUGCAUGGUUGUCGUCAGCUCGUGUCGUGAGAUGUUGGGUUAAGUCCCGCAACGAGCGCAACCCUUAAGCUUAGUUGCCAUCAUUAAGUUGGGCACUCUAGGUUGACUGCCGGUGACAAACCGGAGGAAGGUGGGGAUGACGUCAAAUCAUCAUGCCCCUUAUGAUUUGGGCUACACACGUGCUACAAUGGACAAUACAAAGGGCAGCUAAACCGCGAGGUCAUGCAAAUCCCAUAAAGUUGUUCUCAGUUCGGAUUGUAGUCUGCAACUCGACUACAUGAAGCUGGAAUCGCUAGUAAUCGUAGAUCAGCAUGCUACGGUGAAUACGUUCCCGGGUCUUGUACACACCGCCCGUCACACCACGAGAGUUUGUAACACCCGAAGCCGGUGGAGUAACCAUUUAUGG